rnacentral:rRNA from 1 species
UACGUAGGGGGCGAGCGUUGUCCGGAUUUAUUGGGCGUAAAGAGCUCGUAGGCGGUUCGAUAAGUCGGACGUGAAAUCUCCACGCUCAACGUGGAGGGGCCGUUCGAUACUGUCGUGACUCGAGUCCGGUAGGGGAGUGUGGAAUUCCCGGUGUAGCGGUGAAAUGCGCAGAGAUCGGGAGGAACACCCGUAGCGAAGGCGGCACUCUGGGCCGGUACUGACGCUGAGGAGCGAAAGUGUGGGGAGCAAACAGG